rnacentral:rRNA from 1 species
CAGUCGCCGCGGUAAUACGGAAGGUCCAGGCGUUAUCCGGAUUUAUUGGGUUUAAAGGGAGCGUAGGCUGGAGAUUAAGUGUGUUGUGAAAUGCAGACGCUCAACGUCUGACUUGCAGCGCAUACUGGUUUCCUUGAGUACGCACAACGUUGGCGGAAUUCGUCGUGUAGCGGUGAAAUGCUUAGAUAUGACGAAGAACUCCGAUUGCGAAGGCAGCUGACGGGAGCGCAACUGACGCUUAAGCUCGAAGGUGCGGGUAUCAAACAGGAUUAGAUACCCCAGUAGUCCCUGUCUCUUAUAA